GCCCGUGGCUCAAUGGUUAGAGCGUUUGACUUCUGAUUAAUAGAUCAUGAGUUCAAGCCUUGUGUGGGGCC
rnacentral:tRNA from 1 species